UACGGAGGAUCCAAGCGUUAUCCGGAUUCAUUGGGCUUAAAGGGUGCGUAGGUGGAAUUGUAAGUCAGUGGUGAAAUCCCUUCGCUUAACGAAGGAACUGCCAUUGAUACUGCAAAUCUUGAGUACAUUUGAUGAGGGCGGAAUGUGUCAUGUAGCGGUGAAAUGCUUAGAUAUGACACAGAACACCGAUUGCGAAGGCAGCUCUCAAAACUGUAACUGACACUGAGGCACGAAAGCGUGGGUAGCAAACAGG
rnacentral:rRNA from 1 species